rnacentral:rRNA from 1 species
UAGUCCACGCCGUAAACGAUGGAUACUAGCUGUCCGGGGUCUUGAAUCUUGGGCGGCCAAGUGAAAGUGAUAAGUAUCCCACCUGGGGAGUACGUUCGCAAGAAUGAAACUCAAAGGAAUUGACGGGGGCCCGCACAAGCGGUGGAGCAUGUGGUUUAAUUCGAUGAUACGCGAGGAACCUUACCAGGGCUUAAAUGCAUUCUGACAGGCCGGGAGACCGGUUUUCCUUCGGGCAGUCUGCAAGGUGCUGCAUGGUUGUCGUCAGCUCGUGCCGUGAGGUGUCAGGUUAAGUCCUAUAACGAGCGCAACCCCUACCGUUAGUUGCCAGCAUGUCAUGAUGGGGACUCUAACGGGACUGCCGGUGCAAACCGCGAGGAAGGUGGGGACGACGUCAAAUCAUCACGGCCCUUACGUCCUGGGGCCACACACGUGCUACAAUGGGCCGGUACAGCGGGGAAGCCACUGCGCGAGCAGGGAGCGGGAUCCACAAAACCGGGUCAC